rnacentral:rRNA from 1 species
AUUUUUUUUGAAUUUUUUUAAAAUUGUAAGGUAGAAUUUUCAAUUUUUAGAUAAGACAUAAAAAUAAUAUAUAUUAAAUAUGUUAUGGACCAGGAUUAGAUACCCUGUUACUCAUAAAUAGAAAAUUUUGGAUUAGUAGUAGUUAUGAAAUUUAACGGAUUUGGCGGCAAGAUAGCCAUUUAGAGGAACCUGCCCUAUAAACGAUGGACCACGAAAUCCUUACUUUUACUUGUUAUUUAGUUUGUAUACCGCUGUUGUCAGUUAGUUUUUUUAGAAAUCUUUCUUUCAUGAUAAAAUCAAAGACUUCAAGUAAAGGUGCAGCUGAUGUAAAAGAUAGAGGUGGGUUACAUUUAAAAGAAUAAUACGAAUAAAGUUUAUGAAAUAUCUUUUGAAGGUGGAUUUAAAUGUAAAGUUUAUAAAAACUUGAUGAAGGCUCUAUCUUGUGUACACACCGCCCGUCGCUCUCUUUUUUAAAC